AAGGGCACCACAAGAACGCGUGGAGCAUGUGGCUUAAUUUGACUCAACGCGGGAAAUCUUACCGGGCCCGGACACACUGAGGAUUGACAGGCAAUAUUAAAUACUACUCUAACUAUACUCUCGUAUAUGUUCUGUUGUAUUUAUGUUAAAUAUGCUAGUCCUUUCAUGAUUAUGUGAUAGGUGGUGCAUGGCCGUUCUUAGUUCGUGGAGUGAUCUGUCUGCUUAAUUGCGUUUCACUAAGGGCCUAUACAUUUACGUGUGUUGCGGCACUUUGACCCCUCUUAUUCACGUAAGAGCGCGUGUCUUAGUUUUUGCUUAGCUCGCACAAUUAGGUCCUGAAAGCAACGAACGUGACCGCAACCUCUUGUUGCCUUUUGAUACCAACGGUGCAUUUUGUUCACAUUCACUUUCGCUUGCGUUUGUGUAUUGUGUUGUAUUGUGCUGCAAAAAGGCUUUCUAAACUAGAGGGACCGCUGUUACUUUCUUAAACCAGAGGAAGGUUGCGGCAAUAACAGGUCUGUGAUGCCCUUAGAUGUUCCGGGCUGCACACGUGCUACAAUGAUUAUUGCAGUGAGCAUCUCAUUUUUGAUACACCGCAUGCGCGGGCCGCAUUUAUUUCAUAUGUUCCAUUCAUUUGGUUCUAUUGUUUUUAAGUGUGUUUUUGCUCUGCGCGCGGUAAAGCCUACUUCGACAGUAAGUGGGUAAUCAAUUAGAAGUAAUGAUUUCCUUAUUUUUAUAGCACACAUAUAUAUGGCAUUUAUGCCCGGGUUGUACUUUGUUGUAGCUUCUGUGCGUAUAGAUGUUGAAUACACACUUUUUGUGUUAUAUUCAUUACCAUAUGUGCAAUUGUCAAUUCAUGGUGGGGACAGACCAUUGUUAAUUGUUGGUCUCGGUCUUAACUAGGAAUGCCUUGUACGGGUCUUUGGUUCAACAAACCACCCGGAAUACGUCCCUGCCCUUUGUACACACCGCCCGUCGCUCUUACCGAUGGACUUCUCUGUGAGUUUGAGGGACUGGGAACGCACAUAUUUGCUUUAUUGCAUUUUUUGCACGCCUAUGGAAACUUAAACGAACAGUGUGGUCUAAAGGAAAGAGAAGUCGUAACAAGGCAUCGGUAGGUGAACCUGCAGAAGGAUCA
rnacentral:rRNA from 1 species